AUGCAUGAUGGAAGCCAUCAUUCUUCUUACCUUCGAGGAGAAUGACUAUUCCUUCUAUGCUACAGAAAACCAGGAGUUUUCAGGGCCACCAGUCUUGGAGUAGAGGCUGAGUGGUAGUAUAUUUCUCCUACAUUA
rnacentral:snoRNA from 1 species